AGGAGCGUCGUCCAACAGCAGGACCCCGGCCUCCAACUCCGGCGAUGGGGGUGCAACUCCCUCCGCUCCUG
rnacentral:tRNA from 1 species